GAUGAACGCUGGCGGCGUGCCUAAUACAUGCAAGUCGAGCGAACAGACGAGGAGCUUGCUCCUCUGACGUUAGCGGCGGACGGGUGAGUAACACGUGGAUAACCUACCUAUAAGACUGGGAUAACUUCGGGAAACCGGAGCUAAUACCGGAUAAUAUAUUGAACCGCAUGGUUCAAUAGUGAAAGACGGUUUUGCUGUCACUUAUAGAUGGAUCCGCGCCGCAUUAGCUAGUUGGUAAGGUAACGGCUUACCAAGGCAACGAUGCGUAGCCGACCUGAGAGGGGGAUCGGCAACACGGGAACUGAGACAGGGUCCAGACUCCAACGGGAGGCAGCAGAAGGGAAUCUCCCGAAAGGGGCGAAAGCCGGACGGAGAAACGCCGGGGGAGGGAGAAAGGUCUUCGGAUCGUAAAACGCGGUUAUUAGGAAAGAACAAAUGGGUAAGUAACAAUGCAGGUCUGGAGGGAACCAAAGAAGAAAGCAACGGUGAACUACGG
rnacentral:rRNA from 1 species